AUACUUACCUGGACGGGGUAUAUGAGCGAUCAAGAAGGCUCAUGGCCUAGGUAGGUGACCUCCAUUGCACUUGAGGAGGGGUGCCCACCUAACAUCUUCCCAAAGUGGAAGAGUGUACAUCAUAAUUUGUGUUAGUGGGGUCUGCGUUCGCGCAACCCCUAU